UACGGAGGAUCCAAGCGUUAUCCGGAUUUAUUGGGUUUAAAGGGUGCGUAGGCGGGAGAUUAGGUCGGUGGUGAAAUUUUGCAGCUCAACUGUAAAAGUGCCAUUGAUACUGGUUUCCUUGAGUGUGGAUGAAGUAGGCGGAAUUUGUGGUGUAGCGGUGAAAUGCAUAGAUAUCACGAGGAACUCCGAUUGCGCAGGCAGCUUACUAAACCAUAACUGACGCUCAGGCACGAAGGCGUGGGGAUCAAACAGGAUUAGAUACCCU
rnacentral:rRNA from 1 species